GUUUGCCUACGGGACGCAGCAGUGGGGAAUAUUGCACAAUGGGGGAAACCCUGAUGCAGCGACGCCGCGUGAGUGAAGAAGUAUUUCGGUAUGUAAAGCUCUAUCAGCAGGGAAGAAAAUGACGGUACCUGAAGAAAAAGCUCCGGCUAACUACGUGCCAGCAGCCGCGGUAAUACGUAGGGAGCGAGCGUUGUCCGGAAUUACUGGGUGUAAAGGGAGCGUAGGCGGGACGGCAAGUCAGAUGUGAAAACUGAGGGCUCAACUUUCAGACUGCAUUUGAAACUGCUGUUCUUGAGUGAAGUAGA
rnacentral:rRNA from 1 species